rnacentral:ncRNA from 1 species
CUUAUCAAGAGUGGCGGAGGGACCGGCCCGAGGAAGCCACGGCAACCUGCAUUGUAAGGUGCCAAAUCCGGCGGAGAACCGAAAGAUGAGG